rnacentral:rRNA from 1 species
UACGUAGGGGGCAAGCGUUGUCCGGAUUUAUUGGGCGUAAAGAGCGUGUAGGCGGCCUGACAAGUCUGCUGUGAAAACUCGAGGCUCAACCUCGAGAUGUCGGCGGAAACUGUCUGGCUAGAGUCCGGAAGAGGAGAGUGGAAUUCCUGGUGUAGCGGUGAAAUGCGCAGAUAUCAGGAAGAACACCUAUGGCGAAGGCGGGUCUCUGGGCCGAUACUGACGCUGAGGAGCGAAAGCGUGGGGAGCAAACAGG